GUGCUUGCUUCAGCAGCACAUAUACUAAAAUUGGAAUGAUACAGAGAAGAUUGGUAUGGCCCCUGUGCAAGGAUGACAUGCAAAUUCGUGAAGCGUUCCAUAUUUUU
rnacentral:snRNA from 1 species